GGAGACUAUUUUUAACCCCCCUCCAUCGUGACAGCUCACCACCGUCUCCAAUGGAGACCUAUACCGUCAAACAUCUUCCAUGAGCUUCUUGCCCUCUGUAGACCAGCUUUGAUGAAGUGUCUAUGUAUGCAGGCAUGUGUGAAGGUGUCUGUGUCAGACAAGUGUCCACAGAGGCCAGAAGGCAGCGUCUGAUCUGCUGGGGUUGGAAUUGGAGCUCUGGGUGUUAGGGGGUGCCUGACGUGAAUGCUGGAAACUGUACUCGGGUCCUCUAGAAGAGCAGCAAGCACUCCUAACUGCGGGACCAUCUCUCCAGCCCCUGUUUUUCUACUGCGUUUGGUCUGUGGAUGCCGGUUGCUACAGAACGCCUGGCUGAGGUACAGAAUCAGUGCAGUGAGACCUGGGAAUGAUGAGUCAGCCACUCAUGCAAGUGGAGCUAAGUAAUAAAAAAAAUGGCCCUGAGACACAUCCAGGUCCACAGCCUCAUUCUGGGCUGCCUCAGAGCUGGUGUUCUCCACUCUGAACUUAACUCAGAACAAUGAGCAAGCAGCCUUAUCCCCAUCUGCCUGGGAGCUCUGAGUUCUCUCGCCUGCACAUCAAAGUCUCUGGGACUGAUCACCCAAAGGGUUAAGAAUUUCCCAGAA